GGCGGAUCUGAAGGUAAUGAGUUGUUUUAACUGAUUGUCCACAGUCAGUUACGGAUCAAACUCCUUGUUUUACUCUCCUCCUUCUCACUACUGCACUUGACUCAUCUUUA
ensembl:misc_RNA Y_RNA Y RNA